AUUGAACGCUGGCGGAAUGCUUUACACAUGCAAGUCGAACGAUGAAGUCUAGCUUGCUAGACGGAUUAGUGGCGAACGGGUGAGUAAUAUAUCGGAACGUAUCCAUUAAUGGGGGAUAACUAGUCGAAAGAUUGGCUAAUACCGCAUACGUCCUACGGGAGAAAGCUAGGGACCUUCGGGCCUGGCGUUAAUGGAGCGGCCGAUAUCUGAUUAGCUAGUUGGGGAGGUAAAGGCUCACCAAGGCGACGAUCAGUAGCUGGUCUGAGAGGACGACCAGCCACACUGGAACUGAGACACGGUCCAGACUCCUACGGGGGGCAGCAGUGGGGAAUUUUGGACAAUGGGCGCAAGCCUGAUCCAGCCAUUCCGCGUGAGUGAAGAAGGCCUUCGGGUUGUAAAGCUCUUUCGCAAGGGAAGAAAACUUACCCUCUAACAUAGGGUGAGGAUGACGGUACCUUGAUAAGAAGCACCGGCUAACUACGUGCCAGCAGCCGCCGCGGUAA
rnacentral:rRNA from 1 species